AGCAGAAUGAUGUGUUACUGACUGACCAGCUGGGUCUCAUUAGCCUCAGGUGGCUAAUCAGCACUCCUUAAACCCCAUGCUGGUCAGUUUCUCAAAAGAAGUAGCUGGGAAAAACUUGGAAAGAGUGUCUGGGAUCUUGACACAAAGGAUCCUAAAUGCCUGUGUGCACACAGUCACUGCCUGUAAGGGACCAGUCCCCCCAUAAUGGCGAUAGAGUCCGGAACUUGAUGUUCCACAAUGGAAACAAGAGGGACAUCAGAUCCCAGCAAAAUUGCACAGUACAAACGACAUGCUGCACUCUACACUGCAAAUUGCAAAUGAGACGUGUAUUGCUUUUCAGAAAAUAUAAUACCUUUAAAUACAGAACAAAUUCUGACAUUCAAUUAAUCUGCAGCGAUUGUGGCUAUGGAAACUUUGAAGAAAUAAUUCAAAGGCAGAGGAAAAGAGCUUAUGUACUGAAACAGCGCCUAGCAAACCUUUUUUCGGAUCAGAUAAGCUUAAACCAUAUUCUAGAUGGUAUAGACAGUGCCCUGAUUAAUUACCUGUUAAGAGGAGCUGUUUAUUUUGUAUCUCUAUGUAUCUGCCCAAUUAGUCACAGACUGUAAAGGAAAUAUAGCAUGCAAUGACGGAUUAUGGGCCAUUGUAUCACUGCCUUUAUCAGACAGGGAAGAUUCUAACCGCAUACUCUCCAGCAGUGAAGGAGUUUAAACAGCCUCCCAGCUGAGUACAAAAUGACAAGCUAAUGAAAAUAAGUUGACGAAAAGCCAAAGUAAGAUCCAAUGACAGAACAAUACAAAACAACUUCUACACUCUUAUAAAUAGAAGGGAAAAAAAAGCCCCCCUACACCCCUGGCCACAUGGGGGCUUAGAAAUAGAACUGUCAUGUGGAUACAGCACGGGAUGAAGGAAGACAAUGGCUCAGAAUUACAGCAUACUGCAAUGUUCAAAGCAAAGGUGUCUGGCACAGUCUAAUCAAAUGGAUCUCUGUCCUCUGAACACAGCUGAAACCACAUGAAGGGGAUACAUCAACACUUCUAGGCAGCCAGUAACUGCUACUUUGCACAAAUUCUAUGUAAAAGAGAACGUGUUGGCACAGAAAUGUGCUUAAGGCUUCAUAAUAUGCCAAUUACAUUUAACUAUCGACUUGCAUUGUGGCUAAAAACGUGCUUUCAAUCUGGCAACAACAAAAAAAAACAUGUUGAAACCUAAACUUUUCCCCCUGUUGUUAGGAAGGAGGUGACCUAUAUAUGUGACUGCAGGGGAAUGCUGUUAAUUAUAGAUCUCCCCAGUAUAAUUACUGCAUUGGUGUAAAAGAACAUACAACAAAAACUGGAAGCGUGUUAAAAGGAUACUGUCAUUGCCAAAUUUCCAUUUUUCUGUUCAAUUAUUAUUCAUUUGUAAUUGCUGCUCUGUUGUUUAAUAUCCCAAGCUUUCCUAAAGUGACAGUUUUAAACCAUGAAGGUUUUAUCCUUUCUUUUGCUAAACUUUCUUCUCUCAUUCACCUUAAUUAAACCUGAAGCAGGCUCCAAAUCC